rnacentral:pre_miRNA from 1 species
GGACGAGGCGAUUGGAGGCGGGAUGGGGCUCUUGGGGCUCGAUUGAUGUCUGAAGCUCCGUCGAUCGGUCUCGUCCGAUUCUCUGGCCGGGCUCGUCGAGUGAGUUUUUUGCAGCCAUCGAGCUUCCGGAUCUGCUUCCUCGCAGACCCUUUCUCGUGCAUUAGCCCUGCUCCACGGAAAAUCUGUUGCUCUCGGGGCGCUUUCUCGCUCUACUUCGGGUCACAUCUGAAGAAGGAGGGUCGUUCAAGGGGCUAGGGAUCUGAGCCGACACAGAAACGUACGAGUUCAGUUCUGCCGAAACUAAUGUAUGCAAGUCGUGAAGCGGCUGACUGCACAGGUUGAAAGUACGUGGAGUUUCUGUUACUUCAGCAUUGCGAAGCAUGCAGCUGUCAGUCACUGCAGAUAACUCUGAGGCCACCACAAGAUUUCACUCUGUCUUUCUCUCUGCGCCGAGCUUGUGAUGCCUCGAAUAUAAGCAGGCGAUCGGAUCGGACCUCCCUAACCGUCGAUAAUUCAUGAAAUACGAGCGACAGUGAAAUCGAGAACAGCUGUAAGCUUAUCCUGACAGGAACGUCUGCUCGUGCGAUCUCGCCUGAAAAUUGAUCACUCGCGUACUGCCGAAGCUCACGGCACUCGAACGAGAACACGAAUCGGCCGCAUCCCUGAGUCAUUCCACUUCGAUUCCUCUUGUCCUUU